CCCAGACUCCUACGGGAGGCAGCAGUGGGGAAUAUUGCACAAUGGGGGAAACCCUGAUGCAGCAACGCCGCGUGAGUGAAGAAGUAUUUCGGUAUGUAAAGCUCUAUCAGCAGGGAAGAAAAUGACGGUACCUGAGUAAGAAGCCCCGGCUAACUACGUGCCAGCAGCCGCGGUAAUACGUAGGGGGCAAGCGUUAUCCGGAUUUACUGGGUGUAAAGGGAGCGUAGACGGCGAUACAAGUCUGAAGUGAAAGCCCGGGGCUCAACCCCGGGACUGCUUUGGAAACUGUGUUGCUGGAGUGCUGGAGAGGCAAGCGGAAUUCCUAGUGUAGCGGUGAAAUGCGUAGAUAUUAGGAGGAACACCAGUGGCGAAGGCGGCCUACUGGACGGUGACUGACGCUGAGGCUCGAAAGCGUGGGGAGCAAACAGGAUUAGAUACCCCAGUAAA
rnacentral:rRNA from 1 species